rnacentral:rRNA from 2 species
UUUGGGCUUAGUUGGCUGUGGAGCAUCUGAAAACUCCACACUUAAGCGUGCUCAAGUGAGAGUAGUACUAGGAUGGGUGGUCUCCUGGGAAGUCUUCACCGAGGCAACAA